rnacentral:lncRNA from 1 species
UUGCUCUAAAUGCUUUGGUUUUUGAGUUAUAAGCCAAAAACUGCAUUUUACCCAUAUGUUCUAUUUUUAGCCAUGGCGGCCAUCUUGGUAUGUUGGGCGGGGCACCGGACACAUUUUUUAAACUAGAUACCCAAUGAUGAUUAUGGCCAAGUUUGGUUAAAUUUGGCCCAGUAGUUUCAGAGAAGAUUUUUCUAAAAGAUUACUAAGAUUUACGAAAAAUGGUUAAAAAUUGACUAUAAAGGGCAAUAACUCCUAAAGUGGUCAACUGACCAUUUUGGUCAUGUUGACUUAUUUGUAGAUCUUACUUUGCUGAACAUUAUUGCUGUUUACAGUUUAUCUCUAUCUAUAAUAAUAUUCCAGAUAAUAACCAAAAACAGCAAAAUUUCCUUAAAAUUACCAUUUCAGGGGCAGCAACCCAACAACGAAAUGUUCGAUUCAUAUGAAAAUUUCAGGGCAGAUAGAUCUUGA